AUGCUUAGUUCAACUGCUUCUCAUUCUGCAACAGAUACCUCCGAUAAAAUAGGUAUCAGGGCGGACGGAGCCCUCAAGGAAAAAGACGCUUGCGAAAAAAUCUCUACUCAUGUUGCUGGUGAAGAGACUCUCCCAAAACCUGGGUCACUCAGUUCCGAGGAUCAAACAAAAGUUUUGGAUUUCGUUGAGCUCAAUCUUCGACAGGCAGAGCAGUUGUGCAGGAUAAUUCAUUCUGAGGGAGGAAGCGCUGGGAUAACUGGUAAGCGUUCAUUGCCUAGGUUACAGAUGGAGUUGAGAGCCGGCGAGGAUUUUGAUGACAGGAAGCUGCAAAAUAAGGAAUCCAAAGGCUCAAAAUUCGUGACUUUCACUGUGACGUCUAUGAUUGAAGAGCCGGCACCAACAGCCACUCCUUCGGGGACAGAGGCAAAAUCUCAACCCGAUAAAUUUUCACGGGACGAAGAUUUGACGCAUCCAGCGAGCGAGACUCCAGUAUCUGUCAAAGAUCAUUGUGAACGAGAGCAAGUGGUUUCUCCCGUUUCAGGCACUGUUCCUGCUACACAGAGCAAAGGUUUUUCUGGACAAACUCUCUUUAAAUCUAGCCAACAAAAUAGUCUGGAUGGGCACAGGGCUUUAUAUUCUAACUCGAGUAUUGGUGACGUAGCGCACUCCAAAGUGACCAACCCGACUAGUCUCGGCCGGGUUUCGCAUUUUUUGGGCACUGAAAUCCCAAAAGGGCUCGUCAAGGACAAAAAAAAAGUCAUCGAGGAAAAAUCGGGAACGAUAACCGGGGACACACAAAAGCUCUCGAAAAAGUCCUUCGAGUUGCUCAGAGAGACGGUGAACAUAAAAAAUUCAAGGGAGAGAUACAUCCAAGAGGUGAGAGCCAAAGAGGGAAUUUCUGGUAGCACCGAUCGGCAAAAUCCAAGCAACGGUGCGUUAACUUUUUCACGGACAUCAAGUUUGGAUUCAAAACCAAAAGUACCCUCAGGCAUGGUGUACGGAAAUUCAGACAAGAGGAUAAAUCCAAAUAUUUGCAUUUCGUCGAGCGAAAAUCAAGGGAAUUUUGAAGUUACCGAGAAGCAAAAAAUGAAGCAAAUCUUGAAGAGUAGUGUAGCGCACCAUAUUGUGGACGGUGGUGGUUGUGUUGACGCCGUUACUUCAUUUGAGCCUUUGAGGGCUGAUGUCUCUGCUUUGAAUGCUGCAGCAUCAGAGCAAGGUGAACAUUUCAUCAGCGUUUUGGCAACACCGACACCAGAAAAGACUCCAAGCAGCAGCCACGCACACAUUGAGCAAGGGACCAACAGUUCCGCGAGUCGCUGGAAAGGAGAUCGCGACCAACAAGACAAAGAGGCACAGCCUCUGGUCCCUGAUGAUGACGACGCAGUCAGUGGUCAAAUCACUCAUUUUGACACUGCACGAAGAAAGUGGAUUGAAAAGUUGGACAGUUCUAGGAGAGAAAGUUCUACAGAUCCCGUGGGUGGGAAUGAUCCCCGAAACCAUGCCAGCGGGAGAAUGUCUACUUCGUCAUUGAGAGGUCUGUCACCUUUGACGCAAAAUGGAAGCGAAGUUGACAAAUGCAGCAAAAACAACUGUCUUCAUCCCAAAUGA
rnacentral:lncRNA from 1 species